AUUGAACGCUGGCGGCAUGCCUUACACAUGCAAGUCGAACGGUAACGCGGGGCAACCUGGCGACGAGUGGCGAACGGGUGAGUAACGCAUCGGAACGUGCCCAGUAGUGGGGGAUAGCCCGGCGAAAGCCGGAUUAAUACCGCAUACGACCUACGGGUGAAAGGGGGGGAUCGCAAGACCUCUCGCUAUUGGAGCGGCCGAUGUCAGAUUAGGUAGUUGGUGGGGUAAAGGCCUACCAAGCCGACGAUCUGUAGCUGGUCUGAGAGGACGACCAGCCACACUGGGACUGAGACACGGCCCAGACUCCGACGGGAGGCAGCAGUGGGGAAGUUUGGACAAUGGGCGAAAGCCUGAUCCAGCCAUGCCGCGUGCGGGAAGAAGGCCUUCGGGUUGUAAACCGCUUUUGUCAGGGAAGAAAUCUUCUGGGUUAAUACCUCGGGAGGAUGACGGUACCUGAAGAAUAAGCACCGGCUAACUACGUGCCAGCCGCCGCAGUAAUAC
rnacentral:rRNA from 1 species